AUUGAACGCUGGCGGCAGGCCUAACACAUGCAAGUCGAGCGGAUGAAGGGAGCUUGCUCCUGGAUUCAGCGGCGGACGGGUGAGUAAUGCCUAGGAAUCUGCCUGGUAGUGGGGGAUAACGUCCGGAAACGGGCGCUAAUACCGCAUACGUCCUGAGGGAGAAAGUGGGUGAUCUUCGGACCUCACGCUAUCAGAUGAGCCUAGGUCGGAUUAGCUAGUUGGUGGGGUAAAGGCCUACCAAGGCGACGAUCCGUAACUGGUCUGAGAGGAUGAUCAGUCACACUGGAACUGAGACACGGUCCAGACUCCUACGGGAGGCAGCAGUGGGGAAUAUUGGACAAAGGGCGAAAGCCUGAUCCAGCCAUGCCGCGUGUGUGAAGAAGGUCUUCGGAUUGUAAAGCACUUUAAGUUGGGAGGAAGGGCAGUAAGUUAAUACCUUGCUGUUUUGACGGUACCAACAGAAUAAGCACCGGCUAACUUCGUG
rnacentral:rRNA from 1 species